rnacentral:rRNA from 1 species
AACGAACGCUGGCGGCAUGCCUAAUACAUGCAAGUCGAACGAGAUCUUCGGAUCUAGAGGCGCACGGGUGCGUAACGUGUGGGAAUCUGCCCUUGGGUUCGGAAUAACAGCGGGAAACUGCUGCUAAUACCGGAUGAUGACGUAAGUCCAAGGAUUUAUCGCCCAGGGAUGAGCCCGCGUAGGAUUAGGUAGUUGGUGGGGUAAAGGCCUACCAAGCCUACGAUCCUUAGCUGGUCUGAGAGGAUGAUCAGCCACACUGGGACUGAGACACGGCCCAGACUCCUACGGGAGGCAGCAGUAGGGAAUAUUGGACAAUGGGGGCAACCCUGAUCCAGCAAUGCCGCGUGAGUGAUGAAGGCCUUAGGGUUGUAAAGCUCUUUUACCCGGGAUGAUAAUGACAGUACCGGGAGAAUAAGCCCCGGCUAACUCCGUGCCAGCAGCCGCGGUAA